ACAGAAGAACUUUAUUAAUUUUGUCAUUUUCAAACGGGUCAGAUAUUUAAGAAGUGUCCCAAAGCAGGCAGAAAGUUUUUUUCUGUGUUGUAGUCUUCAAAAAUACGUAGACAUUCUGCUGAAUUCCCCUCCCCUGAUAGCACAGAUUUCUAGUCUAUGCACUGGUUAUAUUGCCCUUCUGCUGCAAUGCAGUCUUUCAUUUUCUAAGUCUUUUCUUUAAUUUCCCCAGUAAUAUGUGGGUUUGCUGUUUCAGGAAUUCCUAAUGUUCAGGGAUGUGGCCCUAGACUUCUCCCAUCAGGAGUGGGAAUACCUUGACCUGUUUCAGAAGACCUUGUACCAGGAGGUGAUGGUGAAGAACUAUGAGACUGGGUUCCGCCAUGUUGCCUGGGCUGGUUUCAAACUCCUGGGCUGAAGCGAUCCACCUGCCCCAGCCUUGUGAAGCACUGGGGUUACAGGCAUGAGCCACCAGGCCUGGCCUGUUUUAUUGUUUAAUACUUGAACAUUCAACGCUUUCAGUUGACAGCAGCAGUCCCAGCCUCUGCAUAAUUAAGCCAAAAAGAGAUGGAGUCUCACUGUGUCACCCAGACUGGAG